AAAUUGAGUUUCUACAUCCAGAAGGAGAAGGGGCUGUCCCAUGUCACUGCCCACCUUGAAUGGUUCAGGCAGAGCUUUUGGCCACACUUUUCCUUGCAUUGCCAACUGAAACCUGAGGAAGGGAUACAGGAAAGCAGAAGGAGCAAGGCACUGUCUAGCAACUUGGACACAGCAUCCUGAUGGGCAUUUCCCGGUAUCUAAAGGAAUGGUGGA